UGGAAAUCCGCCCUAAGACUUCUGGGAAAUGGAGUCUAAGGCACUGUGACGAUAAGCAUCUCGGAGAUUUCUGGGAAUUGUAGUUCGUCGACUGAGGCGGCAUUCCGGACUAGACUCCAGGAGGCGGGGCAAGGAGGACAGCGCGGUUGCUGGUCCUCCCUCCAAGGCCGCUUCCAAGGUUCGGCCUCUCUUCAAGGCCAUUUCUGCUUAGGGAGAAGAGACCUGAAGCUCCGUGAGCCCUUGCGUGCUCACGGGGGUGAGGAUGAGGCAUCUAGGAUAUCAAUAAUGAACCCUAUAACGGCAGAGACUGAACCCGAAGGACGAGGGAGAAAGCCUGUGUAUAAUCGGGUUUGGAAGCAGCAACACCCCUCUUGCCAGGGAUUGGGAUGAUGAGGGUGAAACAGCCUUUCUGAAGGCAUAAGCCCUGUGGGUAGUUAACUAGAGGUGCCCAUUUAAAGUAGAUGUGCAUGUAACCACAAAUAGUGUUGGCUAGGGCCUAUAACAGUGUUCGGAGCGCUUGGAAGUGCCAGUAAGCUUUUAGUCCCAGCUAUGGAAGGGAACUGAGCCCCAGUGUUCAUUAAUAAAGAAGCAGUUAGUAACUGUAUGUGCUGCCCUUCAGGUUCAUAAGAGUGUGGUUGGAUGGGUUACAGUCAUGCAAAUGACUUACCCAAUAGCAGGAUGGGUACGUUCAUGGGUAACAACCCCCCAGACUGGGACAGCACAGACAUCCACUUUAGUGAAGGGGGGCACUUACUUAGAGCGGUGGAGUAUGCUGAGUACCAGUCCCUUAGCAGCAGAGCUGCAAGAGGUCUUGAGACCUGUAGUCCUAAUACAAGAUAAGGCCAUGGGGCCUGAGGCACCUCUCGACCCUGAGCCUUCGCUGUUAGGAAGGGUGUCCUCCUAUUCCUAAUAGGGCAUGGUACACAGUUAGAUCUAGCUGGGUGCUACUGCUGCCUGGUCUGCUGGUGUGGUCCAGCCUAGUACUGACACCAUAUGGUUUGAAACCAGGUGUAGACAGAGAAGCUAAUGAGCUGAACUCAGGGCAGUGUGAAUAGCAAUCACUGAGGUGUCUAUGGUACCUACUAUGGUAAUCUGGGCUGACAGCUGCUCAGUUUAUUGAAGCCUAUGCGAAUGUAUGUAUCGGGCUUGUGUGCCCAAAGCCUAUGUGUCAGGCUAAUGUGUUAAGCUUGUGUAUGUAUAUUGGGCCUGCAUGCCUAAAGCUUAUGUGUCAGGCUAAUGUAUCAAGCCUAUGUAUGGGCCUGUGUGCCCAAACCCUACGUCUCCCUCAGCCUGGGGAUGGAGGGUAAGGCACGUGGAUGUGUUUUGGUCAAGGAAUAGGCUGAGGUGGACAUCCAGGCCUCCAUGACUCAGAAAGUUUGGCAUGCAGGUGCAUACCUUCACUUAUUAUAUAUAACCUGUUUGUGUACAUUCAUAUUUGGCUCUGAGCCAUUAUUGUCUGUAAAAGGUAUAAUUGCCCUGCUGACGCUGUGCACAGGGCCCAGCUCAACAUGGCUCUUGUGCAGGUGCUGGUGCCCAGGGAGAGAGUGAAGCUACUGGCCCCUGUAAGGGAGAAUGACCAACUGGCAGACGGGCAGGUGGGGAGUCAGGAACAAGCUCGUGCCCAGAGAGAGUUAAGCUGCUGACCCUGAAGACGAGGGAGAGCCAGCCAUGCAGCUGCGUGUGGGAGUGGCUCGUUCAAGCAGCCAAGACAGGGCAGACAGUGUGAGAGAGCUGACGUAAGUGAGCUAAUGUGAGUAAGCUGCUGAUGAGCACUGCUGCUGAAUAAAAUCAUCUUUCUCUUGCCUACAGUCCCCCGAGUAUUCUUUCAGCUGUUUGUCCAUCCACCUAGUCCCUGCUAGACCCUGGCAUUUCAACCUGACACCCUCUAAAUGCUCCAUGAUAUGCUCUUGGUUAUGCACUGUGUUCUUAUCCAGGCCCAUGCUGCCGGGUUGGGAGAAGCUGGCUGCAGAGUCCUUAGCCCUGACACAUGGAGCACAAAAGCCCCAGGGCAGGACACAUAGGAAGGAAGUUCGGAACAGGGAUCUUAUCACCAACAUCCUGACGAUUUCCACUGCAUGAUGCAAAGCCCUGUAACAUUUUUAAUU